GAUCAGUGGCUCGAGGACGAACGCUGGCAGCGUGCCUAAUACAUGCAAGUCGAGCGGACCAAAGGGAGCUUGCUCCUGGAGGUUAGCGGCGAACGGGUGAGUAACACGUGGGCAACCUGCCUGUAAGACUGGGAUAACAUCGAGAAAUCGGUGCUAAUACCGGAUAAUAAAAAGAACUGCAUGGUUCUUUUUUGAAAGAUGGUUUCGGCUAUCACUUACAGAUGGGCCCGCGGCGCAUUAGCUAGUUGGUGAGGUAACGGCUCACCAAGGCGACGAUGCGUAGCCGACCUGAGAGGGUGAUCGGCCACACUGGGACUGAGACACGGCCCAGACUCCUACGGGAGGCAGCAGUAGGGAAUCUUCCGCAAUGGACGAAAGUCUGACGGAGCAACGCCGCGUGAGUGAUGAAGGUUUUCGGAUCGUAAAACUCUGUUGUUAGGGAAGAACAAGUGCCGUUCGAAAGGGCGGCACCUUGACGGUACCUAACGAGAAAGCCACGGCUAACUACGUG
rnacentral:rRNA from 1 species